GUAAUUCAAAGGAAAUUGGUACAGGUGCUUACACCAUCAACGUUGAUUCAUGGUAAUAUUGGGCCUCAAGCUGUUCAUCUUCUUUCUCUAAAGGAGGGUACAAGUGAUCCUGCUGACGGUACAACUGCAUUUGGAUUUGCCUUUGUCGACUGUGCCUCUUUACAGUUCUGGAUUGGAUCCGUCACUGAUGAUGCUUCCUGUGCGGCUUUAGGGGCUUUAUUGAUGCAGUAGAGGAGAAGAUGCAAGAAAGUCAUAAGCGAACGGAUGUAUUGGUAAAACAGGAAGAGAUACAAGAGACUCCCACA